rnacentral:misc_RNA from 1 species
GAUGAAGAACGUAGCGAAAUGCGAUAAGUAAUGUGAAUUGCAGAAUUCAGUGAAUCAUCGAAUCUUUGAACGCACAUUGCGCCCGCCAGUAUUCUGGCGGGCAUGCCUGUUCGAGCGUCAUUUCAACCAUCAAGCUCCCGGGCUUGCGUUGGGGCCCUGCGGCUGCCGCAGGCCCCUAAAACCAGUGGCGGGCUCGCUAUCACACCGAGUGCAGUAGAUUACUCUUCGCUCAGGGCGUGCAGCGGGUUCCGGCCGUGAAACCCCCUACUUUUAAAGGUUGACCUCGGAUCAGGUAGGAAUACCCGCUGAACUUAAGCAUAUCAAUAAGCGGAGGA